ensembl:lncRNA
GGCAGAGGUGUGCUAUAUGGUUUUUUAACCCAAGAGGCAGUUUAUGGGCGGAGACACGGUGAAGGGAAAAGGUAGCCAAGAAGAAAUGAAUGAUAUGAUGAUAGGCAAGGCCCAGGAGUCACAGGUGAUACACCUGCUGCUCAGAAGUUACCUUUUGAAUCCUUGGGUUGAUGUCUAUGAAAUCUCUUUAAACAUUCAUUGCAACUACCCAGGAACUAUGGAGAAAAAAGUGAAAUCUGGGAAGUAGAAUAAAGAGAUCCAGUCAUGCUCUUCCAUCUUUAAAUGUUUUAGCCAAAACAGUGGGCAACAUGAUGAGAAACUGGAUGCCAGAUUGGACUCCGGUCUUCAGUCCUCUUUUCUUCCCGGACCCAGCUUUCUGUCCCUCUUUCCCCCACAGACACCUGAAGUGCCCCUGAGCCCUCACUUCAUCGCCCCACACCCAUGCUCCAUCCCCCAGCCCUGUGGACAGGGAGCUCGGCUGUCACCAAGAGAGACACAGCCUUGUGACUGCUUCUUGUUAAUGUCAGCACCACCUCAUCACUUAAGCAAAGAGGGAAAAAUCCAUAAAAGAGAUGGAAAAUACAAUUCUUUUUUUAUUAUUAUUCUACUUUAUUUUAAGAGGCUUGAGAAGAGGGGUGGUUCCAGUCCUUCUCAGUUUCCCAGAGUUUUACUUUACAACUGUCUAAGGAAGGACCAUUCUUUUGAUAAAUGUAUAAAUCAGCCCAGGUCACCAGCUAUGAUGCAUAAGACUCCAGUGUUGAAUCUCUGUGCUGCUGGACAAAGUGACUAAAUUCUGUGCAAAUAUUUUGAAUCAUAGGCUUUUUAUUGCCCCUCAGUUCUUACUACUACUCAUGAUUCAAACAUCUUCACGAAGCUGGGUCAGGAUGUUGACAAUUUGUGGUUAUUUUCAGAUCAACAGUAACUUACCCUCUUGAAAGCACUUAAAAAGAAAGUUAAGCGUAUCUUAAAUAUUCAACCAUUUGACCUGGAGAAAAGUUGGCUUUUCUGUUUAAUUAUUAGACCAAUCUGUAGAUGUAAUCUUAAAGGGUUUUUUAUGCAAUAAUGAAGACAGUUUGAGAAAUGAGAAGGCACUUUAAAGACGUGAAACCUUGUAUUAUACACUCGUGGAUAUUUUUUAAUAAGCUAAUUGGAUUCAGGUAUUUUUUUCCCUUUAAAUUUUUAAAAAUAUGUAUUUCUAAUUUUUUUGCAUAUUUAAUUUUGUCAAAACUGAGAAAUGCUCGCUAGUUGAACUUGUAAAUGUUAUUUGCAAACCAAAUAAAGUAUUUAUUUUUAAAAAGAAAAGGUGAAGGAAUCAAUACGGAUUUGUACAUAAUGAAUAUAUGUGUGUGUGUGUGUGUGUAUGUUUUUCCUUCCUGACACUACUUGGUCCUCACAUCAAUUGUAUUUUUGUACAUAGUGUAUAUAUAUUUGUUAGAAAAUGUAGAUUGUCUGUUCAAAGACUUCUGUCUCUGAUAGAUUAUAUUUAUCCUACUGUUGAUACCUCUCUUAAUUUGUUUUAAGAGAUAGAAUUCUAUUUUUUUGGAACUUGCAGAGAACUGCAUUCAUGGCUUCCAAUUGUAAAUAUGCUAAGGGUAUUUUAAUAAAUUCUGGUUUCAUGUC